AUGAGCAAAGCUUUGUUGCCACGUUAUCAGGGAUUGUCCACUUAUGAAAAGGAGUUCUUGGCAGUCAUAGUCGCAGUGGACCAGUGGAGACUGUACUUACAACAUGCAGAAUUUGUGAUCUAUACGGAUCAGAAGAGUCUGGUUCAUCUGGAGCAGCAAAGACUCACCACUCCUUGGCAACAAAAAGCUUUUACUAAGCUCUUGGGCCUUCAGUACAAGAUCAGAUACAAAAAGGGCUUGGAGAACACAGCCGCAGAUGCUCUGUCUCGUUCACUAUGA
rnacentral:rRNA from 1 species